UGAAUGCCUGGGGAACAUUAUUUGUUUGAUUGUGGAUCCCCUUUACAGGAGGUUUGAAGUUGAUGUUAUUGUCUGUCAGUUUGACUCUUGAAUCUCUUUCAUAAUUCAUGCAUUGUAAUUGUACAUGUAUUUGAAAACUUAUGAUUACACCCUCUCCAACCUGUCCAGAUGACCUGAAAGUCGUAAACCUGAUGCCCAGCCUGGCUACUCUGUGUGGAAUGAGCGUGAAAAUGGACCUGAUGGGCAAUGUCAUGUUUGCUUCUGUUCUAAGCUGCUUUUCCCGGAACAUGGUGUCGGUCAGGAGUCUUCCAGUAUUCCAAACCUUCCUUGAGCUUAAGGCAAGGAGCGGCAACCUCAGAGGUGCUGAGGAUCUUGCUUCAGGAUGCAUGACAGCAGUGGUCUUCAAUCCUAGCAAGAAGGUCAUGAAGGUGGAUGAGCUCCAAAGAAAGGGCUAUGCAAUAGGCAACACUCCCACAUGGCUAGUGUUGAGGAGCCCUGAUAAUGCAGAGGAGACUUACCUAC